ensembl:lncRNA
GUAACAUCCCAGGCACAGUUAAUUUGACUUCACUGAGUUACACCAGGGAUGCAGCUGGCCUGCUAUUAAUAACAAUAGUAGCAGCAAAGAACCCUGCUGGGGACUGGUUUUAAAUUGGAAAAUGACCUUUUAAAAGUUUCCCCCGUAACGAUCAGUAGAAUGUGUUUUCUUCGGUUUUCUUCCACUUCAAAGUCACUGUAACGCCUCUCAUCAGAUUUGAUGCAUGUUAUGGAAUGGGAGAGUUAAAUGAUUGGAAGUCCCUGGUUUAUUAAUAAUCUAACUGAUCGGUUAGCUGCGUAGCUAGAGUGCUGAUGAAUUCGCAUUCGUGUUCUCAUGUCGGUGGAGGCUGACGUGUAUGACACAUUCUUCAUAGCUAACGCUAGCUUAAGGAUCCAGGAUCGGCGAGGAACUGGGAAGGCGGUAGCAGUGUCACCCCUGCGUGUUCUUCGACUUUGUAACUUCACAGUAAAGAGCAGCUUGGAAAUUCAGACCGUGUCAAAGAAAAGAUUGGCCUUGACCUCCCGCUGGCUUCUUCCCCCACUCCCCUUCCAACACCCCCUCUUCCUCCUCAUCCCCUUUCACCAUCUCAUCUGCUCUCUGUCUAACCCCUCCACCUGCCUCCUGGGCUGCAUCCCCUCCUGGCUGCUGACCCCCAGUGUCACCUCAGCCUUUCAUUCUCUUAUGGCUGGUUCCCUGUCCAAUACAAGCAUGCCGUGAUCUUCCCUACCUCAGAGAAUGCACCUUACCUCAACCACACCUGUAUCGCCAAUGACUGCUCUCCCUCCCUUCUCUCUUCAGCUCUAGCCCCUCCAGCAGCCCCUUUAUAACACUGCCUUGUCUUCCUCUCCUCCAGUUCCAUCCUGGAUCCCUCCCGGCCUGACUUCCAUCUUUUCCACUCCAUCAAAUGGUCUUUUCCUGAGCAAAUCCCUGGGGCUGUAUUGCAUCCUGCCUAGCCCCGCUGAGCAGUUGAUGGCACACUUCUCCUUUCAGGACUGCACCCUUCCUGGGUCUGCUUUUGCUCCUCUGAUACCUUUUAGUGUUUUGUUUGGUGGGUCUUCCCCUGCCCUCACACUCUGCCUUGGGGGCUCCCGUGGGCCUCCGUCCUUGGCUCCCUGCUCUGCUCUCACUCUGGACAAUCUUGCCUGCUGACCCAGCUCCGGCUACCGCAUCUGCCCUGGUGACACAUGGAUCUCUCCGCGCUUCUGAUCCCACCACUCAGCGUGUCUCUAACCUUUCCUCCUGGACGUCUCCCCAUCAACGUCAGCAUAUCUGCCCCAAUUCCCCACAACGCGGUAUCUCCUCUACGCCGCUUCGCCCAUGCCCGGCAGCUGUAAGCUCAGUGAAUUAGCCCGUUAGGCUGGGUUCAUGGCUGCUUUGUGUCUCCAGAGCAGCGCGCAACAGCUGGAACAUACCAGUGAGUCUGGCCUCACUCUGACUGCUGACAACGCCACCACCCCUCGGGUCUGUAACGUGGGGACUCCUGCCUCUUUUGCCGGGCCCAUGCAGACUGGGUCCACAUCUUGCUUGUUCCUCCACAGCAGAUCUAAGGGCCCCCCUUUUCUUUCUGUCUGGCUAGCUUGGCCUUGAUUGCUUAGCCUCUUGCUAACCUCUACAUUCCUUCCAGUUCAUUUCUAACUAGUGUUACACUAGAGCCAAGAGCCCUGCAUGCAAAGGGGGCACCCCAUUGCACUGUGCAAACCUCGUGGGAGGGAAAGUC